GAUGAUUUUAGGUGCUUGCACUAAAUGAAACUAGAUACAAGCGAGCGGCGGACGGGUGAGUAACACGUGGGUAACCUGCCCAAGAGACUGGGAUAACACCUGGAAACAGAUGCUAAUACCGGAUAACAACACUAGACGCAUGUCUAGAGUUUGAAAGAUGGUUCUGCUAUCACUCUUGGAUGGACCUGCGGUGCAUUAGCUAGUUGGUAAGGUAACGGCUUACCAAGGCAAUGAUGCAUAGCCGAGUUGAGAGACUGAUCGGCCACAUUGGGACUGAGACACGGCCCAAACUCCUACGGGAGGCAGCAGUAGGGAAUCUUCCACAAUGGACGAAAGUCUGAUGGAGCAACGCCGCGUGAGUGAAGAAGGGUUUCGGCUCGUAAAGCUCUGUUGGUAGUGAAGAAAGAUAGAGGUAGUAACUGGCCUUUAUUUGACGGUAAUUACUUAGAAAGUCACGGCUAACUACGUGCCAGCAGCCGCGGUAAUACGUAGGUGGCAAGCGUUGUCCGGAUUUAUUGGGCGUAAAGCGAGUGCAGGCGGUUCAAUAAGUCUGAUGUGAAAGCCUUCGGCUCAACCGGAGAAUUGCAUCAGAAACUGUUGAACUUGAGUGCAGAAGAGGAGAGUGGAACUCCAUGGGUAAAGGGG
rnacentral:rRNA from 1 species